ACGUGGCUGGCUCAAUCAGUAGAGCAUGUGACUCUUGAUCUUGGGGUCAUAAGUUCAAGCCCUAUGUUGGGUG
rnacentral:tRNA from 1 species